CCUACGGGAGGCAGCAGUGAGGAAUAUUGGACAAUGGGUGAGAGCCUGAUCCAGCCAUCCCGCGUGAAGGAUGACGGUCCUACGGAUUGUAAACUUCUUUUGUAUAGGGAUAAACCUCUCUACGUGUAGAGAGCUGAAGGUACUAUACGAAUAAGCACCGGCUAACUCCGUGCCAGCAGCCGCGGUAAUA
rnacentral:rRNA from 1 species